CCUACGGGAGGCAGCAGUAGGGAAUAUUGCUCAAUGGGGGAAACCCUGAAGCAGCAACGCCGCGUGGAGGAUGAAGGUUUUCGGAUUGUAAACUCCUUUUGUUAGAGAAGAUAAUGACGGUAUCUAACGAAUAAGCACCGGAUAACUCCGUGCCAGCAGCCGCGGUCAUACGGGGGGUGCAAGCGUUACUCGGAAUCACUGGGCGUAAAGAGCGCGUAGGCGGGAUAGCAAAUCAGAUGUGAAAUCCUAUGGCUUAACCAUAGAACUGCAUUUGAAACUGUUAUUCUAGAGUAUGGGAGAGGUAGGUGGAAUUCUAGGUGUAGGGGUAAAAUCCGUAGAGAUCAAGAGGAAUACUCAUUGCGAAGGCGACCUGCUAGAACAUAACUGACGCUGAUGCGCGAAAGCGUGGGGAGCAAACAGGAUUAGAUACCCUUGUAGUC
rnacentral:rRNA from 1 species